rnacentral:rRNA from 1 species
UGAAGAGAGGAGCUUGCUCUUCUUGGAUGAGUUGCNNNACGGGUGAGUAACGCGUAGGUAACCUGCCUUGUAGCGGGGGAUAACUAUUGGAAACGAUAGCUAAUACCGCAUAACAAUGGAUGACACAUGUCAUUUAUUUGAAAGGGGCAAUUGCUCCACUACAAGAUGGACCUGCGUUGUAUUAGCUAGUAGGUGAGGUAAUGGCUCACCUAGGCGACGAUACAUAGCCGACCUGAGAGGGUGAUCGGCCACACUGGGACUGAGACACGGCCCAGACUCCUACGGGAGGCAGCAGUAGGGAAUCUUCGGCAAUGGGGGCAACCCUGACCGAGCAACGCCGCGUGAGUGAAGAAGGUUUUCGGAUCGUAAAGCUCUGUUGUAAGUCAAGAACGGGUGUGAGAGUGGAAAGUUCACACUGUGACGGUAGCUUACCAGAAAGGGACGGCUAACUACGUGCCAGCAGCCGCGGUAAUACGUAGGUCCCGAGCGUUGUCCGGAUUUAUUGGGCGUAAAGCGAGCGCAGGCGGUUUGAUAAGUCUGAAGUUAAAGGCUGUGGCUCAACCAUAGUUCGCUUUGGAAACUGUCAAACUUGAGUGCAGAAGGGGAGAGUGGAAUUCCAUGUGUANCGGUGAAAUGCGUAGAUAUAUGGAGGAACACCGGUGGCGAAAGCGGCUCUCUGGUCUGUAACUGACGCUGAGGCUCGAAAGCGUGGGGAGCGAACAGGAUUAGAUACCCUGGUAGUCCACGCCGUAAACGAUGAGUGCUAGGUGUUGGAUCCUUUCCGGGAUUCNGUGCCNCANCNNACGCAUUAANCACUCCGCCUGGGGAGUACGACCGCAGGNUGAAACUCAAAGGAAUUGACGGGGGCCCNCACAANCGGUGGANCAUGUGGUUUANUUCNAAGCNACNCGANNACNUUACCNNGNCNUGACAUCCCNAUGCUAUUUC